GAGAAGACAGGAGCUUUGCGCUUAGAGAAGUCCCUUGGCCGGACAGAGCGCAUCUUCUUUUGCUCAUUUUUCAGGGCCUUGCCUUGUUGGCCUACCAAAUAAACAGGCUUUUUUUGAUUGAUUCGCUUACGGGUCAUUAACUAAAGACCUUGAAGUCGUGACCCAUGAGCUAGCUGAGGAAAGCGAUAUCGCGCGUAGACAUCAAGCCGUAGCGCGCGAACCAGCAACCCCUCUUUAUGAUGCUUUCCACUCUUUCGAGAGGAUUCAGUUAUUGAGUCGGUGAGCUGAUCUCGCCUUUUAUCUGGACAUUGUGAGUUCUCCCGAUCAUGACGACGAAGCGAGUGAAGGGUAGCACUGAACUGGCAAAGAGAAUGAAUGAGAUUAUGGGGCUCCGGUUCCAUCGAUUUUGACUUCAUUUUACUUAAUAGAAAGAGGUUGCAAAAAAGGAAGAGAAUGGAUCCACUCAAAAAACUUUGUUCGGAAUCUAACUCAGAGAGGCAGUGUUGAGUCCAUGCAGACUCUAAAUUCGUCUAGCGCUUCAAACCAUAUUGGAUUACUAGAUAAAGAGCGAGUGAUCACCCAUGAGGAAAUGGGCAUUGUCUAAAUCCCUGUUUUAAGAAGUUGAAAGAACGUUUUCGCCGUAUCCUUUACAAGCUUUUACACGAAGCAAUGAAUGAGUUGCUCGACGGCAUUCAUCUGUCUUUUCAGUAAAGCGAGUCUUUCAAGUAAGCCCGCCUAACAUGAAAGUCAAGCCUUUCACUUCAUUGUUCAAGUCCUGCCUUCAGAGAAAAGGGUACAGGUCGGUUUGUUGUUUCGAAAGAUUCUCGCACACGAUUCAGUCUGCCUCUGUCAAAUAAAUAAAGUGGAUGGAGAGCCUUCUUAUCCUUUUAGGUCCGACCUCUCUCUUCCACUUUCCACCCCCCUAAGCUUUACUAAAAGGAGGGUCAUCAACACCGUCAGAACCUCGCAUUUGCGGCUAAGUGUCCCUCCGCGGUAAGGAAUUGAUUUUCUUUCUUUCCCUGCAGUGCUAUAGUGCGCUUGGACUCUAUCUCCGCUGUCUGGCUUUCAUGAAGAAAGAUUGAAAGCGUCCUCUUCGAGCGACUGCGUACCUCAUGUCAAAGAUGUUCGUGUACUUUAGAAUUCGAAAUAGGACUGUUAGCGCUGGUCUCUAGCCACCUAGAACUACCAGAGACUCGAUCCACCUCAGGAACAUUCAAAAGACUAAAGCCACCUGAAACUCACUGAUUGUCUCAUGCCACCUCGGAAGAGAAGACAUAUUCUCAGACAGAAAAGAAAGGACUUACCACUUGGCCACACUCAGAAGCCGGAGUCUGAGCUAGUAGCUAGCCUCAGGUAUAGAACUGGAGUUCUCUAUCAGGGAAUUCCAGGAGUGAAAUAGUAUGGUUUGAUAGAACCAGGUAGUAGUUGGUCGGAAAGGAAGAGAAAGAUACUCCAACGGACUCGGGCAAUCCCUUUACGAAUCAAAGGGAUUGGGCUGAUUGACCCCAGGUUCCGGGACGAUAAUCAGGUAAACAGUUGAAGUACCAAAGAGCGGUCCCAAGGGACGGAAUCAAGGAAGCAAACUAAGAGCCAAAGCUCUUAGCCUCCUAAUAUGAGGAUUCGUCUCACUAAAUGAGUUGAACUGAGUUCAACGAAUCCUCAGAUUCCUUAUAUGUUCAACUCAUUUCGAGUGACAAAUGUUCCUCAGAUUCCUCAUCUCUUGGGCUUUCUCCGGUUGACGUUGAAGCCAAAGAAACGGGGGGGAAGGGCACAAAACGUAGUUACCACACCCAUUCCCAUUCCAUUAUUGAUUCGAAUAGCUAAGCGAAGGCUUAAUUGAAUGGACGAGUAAGGGAAUACGAGCUCCUUCAUCUCCUUAUAUACGUCGCCAUGUUCGUUGACGGCCGAAUAAGAAGGGGGCCAAACAGCCACUUGACGGAAGUUUUAGGGGUGAGAGCAGACCCCGAAUAGGGUGAAGGGGAUGCCUCAUUGGCAGCCGAGAGCAGCCUAUUCUGUCUGUAGCAGCUUCUUCUUUCAAAGGCAAAGGCCUUUAUAGACUCGUACAAAGAAGAAAAUAAGUUCCAUGACAUGGCACUUGCGAGGGAGUUUAGUUCAUAACCUCGUAGGCCGGGAAUGCCAUCAAGAACCCUUUUCCUCUCGGUCUCAGUGUCAGCCAAGUUAGCAUCGGCUCCAUCAUUUGAAGCUUAUGACAUUGAUGAGUGAUCCAACAGUCUUGAGUGGCAGUUCUCCAAGGAGAAGGGAUCCCAGGUAGGAGAGCCAGCCGGGCCAGGGGAAAGAGGUAGUCAAAGACUACCCGGGAGUAGGUUCUGGAAUUUAUUCAGAGUUGCCACUCCUCAAUCUUCGAAAUUCCAGCGAUAGAGGACUUGAUACUUAUCUUCGACAAGCCUUGAUCUGUGCUGAAGACAGAUUCUCUUAUCGGCUGAGGAAAUAGGUAGCCACCCAUUCUUCCUUUCCGACCUUAGCUUAGCUGCUCACGCCAAUGCUCAUGGGUAUGGGGCAAUAACUGCUGCUACUGUUAUACUCCCACACUAUAAGAGACGGCUCAUCUUCUAUCUAAGACCUCCUCAAUGAGAGGAUGCCUGAAUGCUACUUUCGUCUACGUAUGGCUUAUAUUAUAUAAGCAAUCCUCCUUCUAUGGUCUUAGGCCCAGUUUCUUUCAACUAAGAUUUAUACUAAGCUUCCUCCCCCUGAAGCCUGAGUCAAAGAAUCCGUCGAUUCCAAUUCCACUAUAGGAAGUGCUGUUAUGAUCGAUUUUCCUUCUCCUCUUCAUUAAUAGCCUGGGAACUUAGAUUCUGAAUUAGAGUAUGGCAGGUCCGUCUUUGACCUUUGACCUUUGACCGGUUCGGGUUCGGGACUCGUUCUAUGACCGUACUCCUAUGUUUUGGGAGUCUGAGAAAGCUCUUCGUCCGCAUUCGCCAAGCCUAACAAGCCUUGGAAGUCGGCUAAGGCGCAAUGCUCCCUAUUUUCCGUGCUAGCUUUUGGGUCUGCUAGCGCUUCGAUGCUUUCGAUUCUUCUUUCCUAGGCUAUUUCGUACGUGUAAGCUUUCGAAGUCGUAUAUCGAAUGAGUGGAUAUUCCCACAUCCUCCCUUCAUGCUAAGACCACUUUGUGUACUGCGUCUUCUAUCGCUAUCUACGGUGAUUCUCCCGUCUAACCGGAGUGAGGACUCAGCAUGAAUAGCCGGACGCGAGAGAAAGACAAAAACAAGGCUUCUCGCGGCCCUAUCGAAUCCGUUCCCGAGUGAAGGUCACUUCACAAGUUGCCUUCUCUGGUCUUGCGGCGCACUCACUCCCUUUCCUUCCGCUCACUUCUGGACCCUUCGCUCCCGGUUAGUGCUCUUUGGCCCGGUCUAUUCUGUCUGAUAUGAUAUCAUAUAGCCAGGAAAAAGGGAUCUACUAGUCAUCGCCUUUGAGCUGGUAUUACCUGGAGUCGGCUAUUCCUGAUUCAGCAAAGGAAAGAAACCUUGAUCCCAAGACUAGCACUGACUCUAUUAUGAGACCUCCCUCUGUCGCAAUAGAAAUCGAGAAUGGAGGUGACUUCGCUACACUUGUUUAUAGUUGGAAAUUCCAACUCGAAGGCCCUAGUACUACUGACUUUGCACCAGAAACAAUUGAAGCCUUUUUUCGGCAUCCCUUCUCAGACGUCUUAUUCCUUGCCUUAGUAAUGUGCAAUCAGCUACUUGGCACCUUCCCUUAUUCUCCCUCCUUUCCCUUCCUUGCAAAGGUCUUAUAAGGCGAUGACCCUACUUACACGAUAUGAGAAUGGUUCGACACUUUCAACCCCAUAACCCACUUCCAAGACUUUAGGACUAACUGGAUUUCUUUCGACUUAGUUCUCUGUUCGUCUCGGGUACUCGCUCUGCUAAUUGGUAUGAUAACCAGUAAAGGGAAGGUACAUAGUCAUCUUUUCCAGAGCACCCUAAACCGUAACAGCAAGACCAACGGAUAUGACCAAAAAUUCCUUGUCACGAGCUUGGCUUUGGGGACAGUUUCACCGACCUAAGAACCAUUUCCUUUAGCAGCGGCGGAGGAUAUUAUAUAAAAGCAAAGAAGAGAGCGAAGCUCCUCUCCAACCAGUCAAGUGGCCCAAGGGCCACCUUUCCUGGAUUAGAAAGAAAGCUACUAACAGUACCGUGCAAUAUCUGGCCUAGUGCAAACCAUGGCAUACAUCAAACUACCAACUGCAUAAGAAUAAGGAACAAGAGACAUUUCCUUCUUCUCUUCAUCAGUUGAUGGACUUGACUUUUUCUUUAGCCUCUCGGCUUCGAGAAGCCGUGGGCCCAGUAGUGCUUUCUUAAAGCCUGUAACCCGCUCGACGUAAGAACCGAUCUCAAGCUGGAUGAGAAGGGAAAUAAAGACUAGUGAGAAUAGCCGUAAUUCAACUAGGCCUUGAAUCAGUGGUUUACAGAGACAAUUAGUCAUCUGCUUACGGCUAAUCUGCUCUUCGAAUCGUCAUCUUAGAAUAGGUUGGAACUAUUUCAAGAUGAUAGGCUUAUUCUGAAAGUACGCAUUUCUUGCUCUAAGUCCGCUGGGUUGGAUCGAACUAGUAGGUUUGGCAGGAAGAUAAUGGCAUAAAAGAAGCAUUCCACUUUUGGAAAGAGAAGAGUCAGUCUGAUUAUAGAUCCCUCUGUCUUGCAUUGGGUUAACUGGAGCUUAGAUAAAGCGAUAGGCAGAAGAGAGAGAAUUAGUCCGUCUUUAUAGACUGACUUUCCUCGCAUCAAAGCUUUCCGGUUCUCUUCCUUUAUGAAGAAAGGAAAGGCUUGUUAUCGACGAAGAAGAUCUUUAUACUGUUCAUCCUAAGAAAAGAAGUUUUCACUCGGUACAACUAUUCUAUGCUAGCAUAGCAUGCUUCUACUUAUGUUGUGUUGCAAAUUCCGGAUCAGGAACAAUCCUUUCUUAUUCGUUGAUGCCAGUCUAAAAAUCCGUACUUGUUGACUAAAUUUCGGCUUUCUAGCUUGAAGCUUAAGGGCUAAGGGAAAUUCAUCCUUGGAUCAAUGAAAUAGUUGAAUUAGCGUUGAUGCAAGAAGCAACCUCUUAUUGAAAUGACUUUAGGAAGUGCCUAACCUUUCUCCUUCGAUCCGAUCCUUUCUGUGACCCGAAAUGAACUUAUUGUCUCUUCGUCUCUUGCCUUUGAAUCGGAUAUUCCGAUGAAAGCGGAUUCUCUUUCCGUCCCUCGUCAUCGAGAGGAAGAAUCGCUAUCUAUCUAUCCAUAUACGUAUCAACAAAUGUGGUUCCAGGGAUCGGUCGAUUGCCCCUCACCAGCAGCUAGAGGAGGAGAAAGGAAUGAUGUCCCGGCCUGGGCUGGGCACCUAUCAGCCAACUAUUCCUUUUUGGAAUGGAAAGAAGAAAGGAUGGUCGUAGAUCACUGAUGUCGAAUUCACGAAAAAGAUCAUAUGUGAAAGAAUCGUCAGAUUAUGGGUUCCCGGAGUAGACGGAAUGGAGAAUGAAUGAAAUAGAAUAGUCUGGCAGAAUCGUAUGAUAGGGAAAGUGCGGAGCCUCCCACUUGUCUGGGUUACCGGGCUGGCUAACCUAACUAUGAAUUUCUAUCAAUGUCGGGAUAGACAGAGGUCUAGGAUAGUACGCUGUCGGAGUGAGACCGGGGUACAGUAACGAAGUUAGACCGAAAUGAACGACUCAAUUCCUCUAGAAGAAAGGAGAGAGAAAGAACAACCAAUUCUAUGAAACAAUAUCGUCAUUUACUAGAAUCGGUUGCUACUAGUCCGGGUUACCUCAGAGAUAGAGCCAUUAGGCGAGAAAAAACAACCUAGUUAGUGCACUAACUCAAACCUAGUUCUUGCACGAAAUGUCCUGCUAACAUAGGAGCACUCCUACUAAGAAAUGGAAGAGCAAAUUUCUUUCUGUUCGACGACACAAUGCCUCACCUGCCCUCUGCUACACAUCUCUUUCGUUCGCCCUAGACCCACCCACCAAAUGGAACUCUGCCCUUUUUGUUGGGUUAGAGCGAGUAUGAAGUCAGGGAGGAAGAAGAGGGAAGAAAUAAUAUAGUAAUAUUAACCUUUCCUUCGCUCUAUUCCCAAGUCCUGGGCUAAGCUGAGCUUCGAAGUCGGGCUUUCUUCCUAAUCUCAUCUACUGAAAAGGGGGCCGGGCGUAGCACGUUCUUUUUUGGGACACAUAGGCUAUUACAGACGCAUCAAAAAAGACUUUUCGAAGCGCGGAAUCCCAGAAUGGAAUCAUUGCAGAAGAAAGGUAUAAGGCUUGGGAACCGGAACAGGAUUAAGCCUUUAAGCAUGCAGAUGAGUGUUUGCUGUCAGCCCCAAUCCUUCGGUUUCCGGAUUGGAAUAAGGAGUUCCAUGUUCAUACUGACGCAUCACUCUAUGCCAUUGGAUGUAUGUUGGCGCAAGAAGGGCCGCUUGAUCACUCCAUCUACUUUGAAAGUAUACGACUUUCCGCUUGGGAAUUAUAAAACCACCGAACCUUCUUUAUCAUGAUUCGACCCAUACCUCAGACCUAAGAUCGAGCACCAGAGCUGCUCAUAACAACGUACCAAAAAGAAGAAUGCGAGAAGUUCAUAUUCUCCAGAUUCUACUAUAAACCAGGUAGUGAGGAUGAAAAAAAGCAUAAGCUACCUCGUUCGUGCUCCCGUCUUUCCCGCUGCCAUCUUCGGUGGAGUAACCAAGUUUUUCUUUCUCACUCCUUAUGUACUUUUUUUUACUUCAUCCAUACUUUUUGACUUUUUCUGAAGUGUGGGGCAAACGGCGCCCUCUACUUCUACUUCUAACUAAAGGCGAACAGCCGGCAUUGCAAGCAAAUAGAAAGCCCCCGCCCGUUUGAGCCGGAAAGCGUACCGGCUGUUUGAGUCGCAUCGCAAAAGGGCUGCUUUCUUAAUAUUAUUCUUAAUAUUAUUUAUAUAAUAAUAAUAAAUAAUCUAUAAACAAAAAGAAAAAGGGGAAAUCUUUUUUCUUCAAAAAUUCUUCAUUCCUGGGAAGAAGAAGAAGCAGAUAGGACAAAGGCCUUCUCUUUCCAUUCGCUCUACUCGAAGUGAGCGAAUUGCAUGUAGAGAUCCGUAGGGGCUUAUACUUUAAUUGGUUGAAACGUACCACUCAUAACGGUGAUAUUGUAGGUUCGAGCCCUACUAAGCCUAUCACCCCCUUCUUUUCACCUGAUACAAGGCAGUUAAAUACCCACCACCCUGCAGAUCUGAAUGAUGCGAUGGGAACCACACUGCUGCCAAUGCCCUUUGGGCAUGCCUCCUAUGAAUAUCACUCACCUACGCUCUUGGCGUAUGCCACCUUUGGGCAAUAUGGUGUAAUACGCAAAGCAGUUGAGCCAUAGCUCUUCGAUUGCUAUAUUCUUGCAAUAGAGAAGGUGUGGUUUAUCCUUUAAGAGAGAGUAAAUGUGAAGGUUCGGAUUGAAUAUCUUUACAAUACAUCCUUGGGGCACCAUAGUAUGUCGGGAAUAAGGGGGUCAUAGUGAACGUAACCACUCCCUUGGUUGGGGGCUAUGAAUCCCCUAUCCUUUUAAUUUUUUGAUUCCCAGGUCUUUUUUAUUAUAACUGUUGGAAUAUUUUUGUUGACGACUUAGUCAGGGUGGUUCACUAUUUCUUUGUUGAAGGCGUUGUUAAGCCCUAACGUUUGAAUUCCAAUUUCAUUGCCCUGACAAAACUUUAUGAUCCCCACUUCCAGAAAAAAACUGAAAAGAUGGGGCGGUCGGGGACUUGAAUGAAUGUUAUUAGUCGUGAAUUUGAACUUUUUGGUAUUCUUUUGAUAUAUUUGCAAGAACAUUCUAUGGUUUUAAUAAGAGGAGGUAGAGUGAAAGAUUUUUUGGCUAAAUAAUAAUUUGGUUAUGCCCAGCCCACUAAUGGGGGGCGGUGGCUAAUCCGUACACGCAGUGGGAGGUGACAGCCAGAAAUGAGAUUUGGGGAACAAAGUCAAUUGAUGCGCUCUUAAAGGGAGAAGACAGGAGCUUUGCGCUUAGAGAAGUCCCUUGGCCGGACAGAGCGCAUCUUCUUUUGCUCAUUUUUCAGGGCCUUGCCAUGUUGGCCUACCAAAUAAACAGGAUUUUUUUGAUUGAUGAGCUUAUGGGUCAUUAACUAAAGACCUUAAAGUCGUGACCCAUGAGAUAGCUGAGGAAAGCGAUAUCGCGCGUAGACAUCAAGCCGUAGCGCGUGAACCAGCAACCCCUCUUUAUGAUGCUUUCCACUUUUUUAAGAGGAUUCAGUUAUUGAGUCGGUGAGCUAAUCUCACCUUUUCUCUAGACAUUGUGAGUUAUUUCGAUCAUGACAAUGAAGCAAGUAAAGUGUAGCACUGAACUAGCAAAAAGAAUUAAUGAGAUUAUGGGGCUUCGGUUCCAUCAAUUUUGACUUUAUUUUACUUAAUAGAAAGAGGUUGCAAAAAAGGAAGAGAAUGGAUCCACUGAAAAAACUUUGUUUGGAAUCUAACUCAGAGAGGCAGUAUUGAGUCCAUACAGACUCUAAAUUCGUCUAGCGCUGCAAACCAUAUUGGAUUACUAGAUAAAGAGCUAGUGAUCACCCAUGAGGAAAUGGGCAUUGUCUAAAUCCCUAUUUUAAGAAGUUAAAAGAACGUUUUCACUAUAUCCUUUACAAGCUUUUACACGAAGCAAUGAAUGGGUUGCUCGACGGCAUUCAUCUAUCUUUUCAGUAAAGAGAGUCUUUCAAGUAAGCCCGCCUAACAUGAAAGUCAAGCCUUUCACUUUAUUGUUCAAGUCCUGCCUUUAGAGAAAAGGGUAAAGGUCGGUUUGUUGUUUUGAAAGAUUCUCGCACAUGAUUCAGU
rnacentral:lncRNA from 1 species